ensembl:lncRNA
AGACAACAUCACCAACUGCUCCGUGUGUGCGCGCGCCUGUGUGUGUGUGAGUGCGCCGGUACAGGAGAAGAGCAGAGCAAGAGAGAGAGAGAGAGAGAGAGAGCCGGGCGGGAGCCAGAGCGGGCGAGCGAGACAGAGACACACUCACUGACAGAGCGAGAGCGUGCACGAGAGAGAGAGAGAGACAGAGAGAGAGAGAGCAAAAAGGGGGAGGCACUGUGUUCGUUCAGCUACCCACACCUCCCUCCGCCCUCCUCCUCCCCUCCCUCCAACUACAAGGAAGGCGGGGCCAGACCCCAGGCUGCCAAUCAAAUCGGCUUGUGGCAGCCGGCAUUAUCUCAGCAACAAACUAUUGACAUAUAACAUGUCAAGGAGUUUAGUGCAUGAUUGAAGGAAGCCCUUUUUUUUUUGGGUUGGCUGGUUUUUAAUCUAGUUACUUUUUGUCUGCUGCAGCGCGUUUCUCCUCUCCCCGACCGACUCGAAUGACUUUCUAUGAGAGUUGAGUCAUAUUAUGAAAGUUACAUGUCUGAGAGGAUUUAACCUCGACUUCCCUGAAUAUGCUGAAAGGAGUUUAUGCACUGAAACGACCUCAGGAAAACCCAAGAUGGCCGCCAAAAGAAAAGGUGGCCUAAAGCUCAACGCGAUCUGCGCCAAGCUGAGCCGGCAGGUGGUGUUC